rnacentral:hammerhead_ribozyme from 1 species
AUCCAUCUGAUGAGUCCUAAAUAGGACGAAAUGUUGUGCAUCCUGAAU